rnacentral:rRNA from 1 species
AGCCCUAAGUGGGUGGUAAACUCCAUCUAAGGCUAAAUAUGACUACGAGACCGAUAGCGAACAAGUACCGUGAGGGAAAGUUGAAAAGCACUUUGAAGAGAGAGUUCAAGAGUACGUGAAACCGUUUAGGGGUAAACCUGAGAAACCCGAAAGGUCGAAGGGAGAAAUUCAUUCGUGUCUCGGCGCAGGCGUGGAGCAUUCGAGUGACGAAGGACGCGUUCGCGCGCGUUCUCCGCACCUUUUGUUCCUCGAACCGGUGCCGAACGCGUGCACUUUUCUCCUGGUAGGACGUCGCUAUCCGUUGGGUGUCGGUCUACGGUUCGCGGUGGAGCCCGUUCGUUUCGUUUCGCGACGAUGACGAACGGACCCGCGUUAUCUCCCGGCCGGCUCGCCCGACGGUAUACGAAUGGUUUAAGGCCGCUCCCUUCUCGCGGGGGGGAGCGUUCGGCUCACGGCAAGCGCGCCAGACCGCGUCGGCGAUCGGACCUAGUGCCGAUUCUGACCUCUGGUGACUGUUGGCCGUCGAUGUUCUCGAACAGACCUCUAACCGAUUGCGAC